GUGGAUCGACCUACUUAGGGGCUAUCAAACGCUACACCGUAACAGGGUAGUUAUAAAGGUAGUUUUCGGGUUUGUCAAGAAGCAUGCUAUGAGACAUGGUCAAUCAAGAUGGGAUUUGCCCCUCUCUGAUUGAGAGUGAUAUCUCUGGGCCCCUCGAGUGAUCGGAUCUGAAAAUGCAUGGCCAUGCUACGUACGGUUAAGAGUUAAACCUACAAAGGGAUUCCGAAUCACAGGAUCGAGAAAGAGCGGUCGGCUUGAAGCUAGACCAAAUAUCGUGAGGCAAAGGGAAUAGCAUGUAUAUUAUGUUGUUAUGGUUUGUCUGAUAUGAUCUUCAUGUGCGUAUAGGAGUUGGCACGUCUUGCUAGAGGCCGCUACCGACUAUUGGACCGAGUAGGAGUACUCGGGCCAUGUCUAUGCGUAUCCGAACCCAUAGGGUCACACACUUAAGGGGCUGGAAGCCCAAUUCAGAUCAGAUCCGAGUUGGAUUAGGUUUAGGAGUACUAAUGGGCCUCGGAACCAGAGGCCCAUCAGGAACCUCUAUAAAUAGAGGGGUGGGGGCGCCCUAGGGUUUACACCUUUGGCAAAACACACCUGCCGCGCCUUCCCAUGCCCUCGCCUGUUGCAACUCGCGGAUCUAGCAGUCCGGCUUGCGAUACUUCCUCCAUGCACGUGUGGAUACCUUGGAGGUGUUGCGCCUGCAGCACUUGGACGAGCCAUCGACGAGCCGCCGACGAGCCACGACGAGUCGACGACGAGCCGCGGCACCGGAGGCGAUCUUGCUGCACGUGGGAGCUGCUGGACGUGACGUGAUCGACUACGUACGACUACGUUGAUCGACUACAUACGACUACGUGAUCGUCUUCACUGCAUCGACGCAUAUCUACAUCUUCCGCACCAGUAGUGCGUCGAGUGGUAAUCCCGUGAUCCUUAUACGACAGCUCUUCCUGGUUAUACGCGGUAGAAAUUUUUGAUUUGCGCUAGUGUAGCCUACCUCGUAUCCCAACAGUGGUAUCAGAGCCGUAGCUGCUUAGUUUUGGAUUCGGGAUGUGUGCAUAUGGAGAUAUGCGAGUUCUCUGUUUGAUCUAUGUCCUGAUUUCGUGCCCUUGCUGCAAUCGUAGUGUAACGACAUACUCCUACCGGUCGGUUUCCGCCAUCGGAGUUAAGUGAUACACGUAAAUCCAGUUGCAGUGAGGGAAGAUCAAUAUGAUUGGUCAAAUCGAAAUCCAGGGUCAUACGCCAGGCGCAUUAGAUGUGCAAUAGUAGAUGGGAUCUACUGCCGGGGUCAGGAUUUUUGCCGUAUGCGUAUGCUUCGGUAAAUCAGCCGUAACUUUUCGGUACGAUCUCGGAUCGGGGCAAAUUUUAUAUGAAAAUUGAUCUACAGAAAAAGUUACACAUGAAAUUCAACUACUUUGCCGUUUUCGGCGAGAUUAGAUUUCCCAAAUUUGGCUUGGAAGAUGGAGUUUCGGGCCUCCGAAGUUUGGAACGUUAGGACGCCUAACUCUGUUUUGCAGGAUGUAUGUAUGUAUCUUGUGAUCAGUAUGGCCCCCUUGUGUAUGUGAUGCAUGUGUGUAACUCAUUCGUGACCUGCGUGUCGUGCGUACGGCAACACGGCAGGAGCCAUAUGUGUUGUCACUUUAUUGUAUUUAAUGGUCUGCGUACCAAUCUGUGAUGAUCCAAGCAACUAUGUAAUCUUCAUUACUAGAUUCUUUACUAGCUAUUAGGCGUAAUAGCAUGCUCUAGUUCUUGGAGGACUCAUCACCAGAAGGAUGGCGCACAUGGAACAUGGAGAUGGAGAUCACCAUGGUGAACAGGUUCUAUGGAGAUGGAGAUCACCAUAUGAAAAUGGGCCAUACUGUGUCACAAGCUGUGUGAAUGCUAUUCUGUUUAUGUUUUACUUUCUGCAUGCUGUGAUGUUAGAAGUAGAACGAUCCCUCACAAAGUUUAAGUUAGUAUGCCCUCCCAACUAAAACUUGCACCGUCCCAUGUCUUGUACAAUUAGUGGUGGGUGUAUGAAAUUAGGGUGCCACUAGAUUUCCUUGACUAGACGGGUUUGUGUCGGCUACUUACACGCAUAAGGGUUGGUUUGCUUAACAAGGUUAUCUUAACGGUUAAGGACCUUGGGGCAUAAAGGUUGGGCGCCGAGACAUAGAGAUGUCACCCAACAACAGGAGUCAUAUGUGAUAUGAUUAGCAAAAGUUGCUUACCGAUCUACCUCGUUUGCUAGCGGUGAUGCUAAAGCUCACUAGUGGACUUGUUAGUUGUGGAUCCUGAAUCACUAAGUUUCAAUAGAGGGAUAUUGAUUUUAGUGGGAGUAGAUUCUGUUAAAAUAGUUUAAUGUAAUUUGCUCUAUCAUGGAUACGUUUGUCUUAGUGUAUUUUGCAUUACUUUUGUUGUAGAUUAAAUGGCACCUAGCAACACCACCGCAUCGUUUGCUUUGCGUUCGGUCCUUGAGAAGGACAAGUUGAAUGGAACAAACUACUCGGAUUGGAUCCGUAACCUAUGCAUCUGCUGCCGUUAAGGCUGCUUACAAGAAGGCAUUUGAUGCUAAUCUUGAGGUAAGCUGCCUUAUGCUUGCUUGCAUGGAACCCGAGCUGCAGAUGCAGUUCGAAACAAAUCAUGAGGCACACGAUAUGAUCGUGGCGCUCAAGGACAUGUUCCAGACACAGGCUAGGACCGAAAGGUUCAAUGUGUCCAAACCACAUGUAAUCAAGAUGGUUGGUUACACUCAGCGAUUGGAGAAGCUGGGCUUCCCAAUGGGCAAAGAGUUGGCCACUGACUUCAUUCUUUCAUCUCUUCCGCCUAGCUAUGGGAACUUCAUCUCGAACUACCAUAUGCAUGGGACGGAGAAGGGUCUGAAUGAACUGUGUGGUAUGCUCAAGACAGCAGAGGUAGACAUUAAGAAAAGCGCUAGUACAAGCCAUGUGAUGGCUGUACAGAACAAGCCUACCUUUAGGAAGAAGGGCAAUUCUUGGAAGAAGAAGGGCAAGGCUGGAGUGUCCAAGCCAAACCCAGCGCCCAAGGCUAAAACUGGACCUGCUCAAGAUAAAGAGUGCUUUUACUGUCAUGAACUUGGUCACUGGAAGAGAAACUGCAAGCAGUACCUAGCUUCGUUGAAGAACGGCGGAAGUAAGAGUACUUCUACCUCAGGUACGCUUGUUGUUAAUGUUAUAGACAACAUAUUUCUCGCUGAUACAGUUAUUAAUUCUUGGGUAUUUGAUAUCGGAUCGGUUGCUCAUAUUUGUAAUUCGAUGCAGGGAAUGAUAAGAAGUAGAAGCGUGGAAAGAGGAGAAGUUGAUUUCCGCGUGGGCAAUAAUGCAAGAGUUGCUGCUUUGACCAUCGGGACGAUGCAACUCCACCUCCCGUCAGGAUUUAUUAUGGAGUUGAAUAAUUGUUAUUUUGUUCCUAGUUUAAGUCGAAACAUUUUGUCUCCUUCAUGUUUGAUGAAUGAUGGUUAUUCAUUUGCGAGUGAAAAUAAUGGUUGUGUGAUCUCUAAGAAUAAUAUGUUUAUGGCUUUUGCACCCAUUGUGAAUGAAUUAUUUGUUUUAAAUCUUGAUGGUUCACCUGUCUGUAAUGUAAGUGCUAAAAGGCAUCGGCCUAAUGAUUUGAGUCCUACCUACUUGUGGCAUUGUCGUUUGGGUCAUAUAAGUGAAAAGCGCAUGAAGAAGCUCCAUUCUGAUGGACUCCUAACUUCGUUUGAUUUUGAAUCAUACGAGACAUGUGAGGCUUGCUUGCUAGGCAAGAUGACCAAGACGCCUUUCACAGGAUUUCCUGAGAGAGCAGUAGACUUGUUGGAACUCGUACAUAGUGAUGUAUGCAGACCAAUGAGCACGACGGCUAGAGGAGGAUUCCAAUACUUCAUAACUUUCACUGAUGAUUUUAGUAGAUAUGGCUAUGUCUACUUGAUGAGGCACAAGUCUGAAACCUUUGAAAAGUUCAAGGAAUUUCAGAAUGAAGUUGAAAAUCAGCGUGGCAAGAAAAUUAAGGCCUUACGAUCUGAUCGUGGAGGCGAGUAUUUGAGCCACAAGUUUAGCAAUCAUCUAAAGAGUUGCGGAAUUGUUCCACAACAUACGCCGCCUGGAACACCUCAGAGGAACGGUGUGUUCGAGCGACGUAAUCGAACUUUGUUAGACAUGGUUCGAUCAAUGAUGAGCCAGUCGGACCUACCGUUGUCAUUUUGGGGAUACGCUCUAGAAACAGCAGCUUUCACACUAAAUAGGGUACCAUCUAAAUCCGUAGUUAAGACACCAUAUGAGAUAUGGACUGGAAAGGUUCCUAGUUUGUCUUUUCUAAAGAUUUGGGGAUGUGAAGUGUUUGUCAAGCGACUUCAGUCGGACAAGAUCACACCCAAGUCGGAUAAGUGCAUUUUCGUUGGAUAUCCAAAGUAAACUUUGGGAUAUUAUUUCUACAACCGAUCAGAAGGCAAAGUGUUUGUUGCUCAAAACGGGGUUUUCCUAGAGAAAGAGUUUCUCAAAGGAGAAAAGAGUGGAAAGACAGUGCAUCUUGAAGAAGUUCAAGAUGAGCCGAUCGGGCAAGAAUCAAUGAGUGAUGCUAACGUAGCAGAACAAGUUGAGAUACCCAUGGCAAGAGAAGCACCGACACAACCACGAAGGUCAGCAAGGCUCCGCGAAAUGCGAGAAAUAUUAUUGUUGGACAAUGAUGAGCCUGCGACAUAUGCAGAAGCAAUGAUGGACCCAGACUCUGAAAAAUGGCAGAGUGCCAUGCAAUCCGAAAUAGAGUCCAUGGGAGACAAUCAAGUUUGGAACUUGGUUGACCCGCCUGAUGGUGUUAAAGCCAUAGAGUGCAAGUGGAUCUAUAAGAAGAAAAAGGACAUGGAUGGAAAUGUUCACAUCUAUAAAGCACGACUUGUCGCAAAAGGUUUUCGACAAGUUCAAGGAGUUGACUACGACGAGACCUUCUCGCCCGUAGUGAUGCUUAAGUCCAUUCGGAUUAUUCUAGCUAUAGCUGCAUAUUUCGAUUAUGAGAUAUGGCAGAUGGAUGUCAAGACAGCUUUCCUGAAUGGAAACCUAGCUAAGGACGUGUAUAUGAUACAGCCCGAGGGUUUUGUCGAUCCGAAAAAUGCUGGAAAGGUAUGCAAGCUUCAGAGAUCCAUUUAUGGAUUGAAGCAAGCAUCUAGGAGUUGGAACAUUCGUUUUGAUGAAGUGGUCAAAGGGUUUGACUUCACCAAGAACGAAGAAGAGUCUUGUGUUUACAAGAAGGUUAGUGGGAGCUCUGUAGUAUUUCUAAUCUUAUAUGUGGAUGACAUAUUACUGAUUGGAAAUAACAUUCCUAUGCUUGAGUCCUAUGCAUUAAGAUCUAUAGAGAUAGAUCGAGAAGGCUUAUAGGUUUGAGCCAAGAUACUUAUAUUGACAAAGUGUUGAAGCGGUUCAGCAUGGAAGAGGCAAAGAAAGGGUUCUUGCCUAUGUCACAUGCCAUACAUCUCAGCAAGACUCAGUGUCCUUCGACUGCUGAUGAGCGGGAUCGCAUGAGUAGAGUGCCAUAUGCCUCGGCUAUUGGAUCUAUUAUGUAUGCAAUGAUAAGUACUCGCCCAGAUGUUUCAUAUGCGCUAAGUAUGACAAGUAGACACCAAUCUGAUCCAGGUGAGAGUCACUGGACAGCGGUGAAAAACAUUCUUAAGUACUUGAGAAGGACUAAAGAUAUGUUCCUCGUCUAUGGAGGUCAGGAGGAGCUCGUUGUAACAGGUUACACCGAUGCUAGUUUCUAAACCGACAGAGAUGAUUCAAAGUCACAAUCAGGAUUUGUGUUCACGCUAAAUGGUGGUGUUGUUAGUUGGAAGAGUUCCAAGCAAGAGACGGUGGCCGAUUCUACGACAGAAGCCGAGUACAUCGCGGCUUCGGAAGCCGCGAAGGAAGGUGUUUGGAUAAGGAAUUUACUCAUUGAGCUUGGUGUGUUCCCGAAUGCAUCCAGCCCAUUGAAUCUCUAUUGUGAUAAUAAUGGGGCAAUUGCGCAAGCAAAAGAGCCAAGGAACCACCAGAAGAACAAACACGUAAUGCGGCGAUUUCAUCUCAUUCGAGACUUCGUUAACCGGGGUGAGAUCAAGAUAUGCAAAAUACACACGAAUCUGAACAUUUCUGAUCCGUUGACAAAACCACUCCCGCAGGCUAAGCAUGAUGCGCAUGUAAGAGCUAUGGGUAUUAGGUACCUCCUAGAUUGACUCUAGUGCAAGUGGGAGACUGUUGGAGGUAUGCCCUAGAGGCAAUCAUACAGAUGAUGAUAUUCCAUUUGUAUCCAUGAUUUGUAUAUUGUGUUCAUUGAAUAUCCAUUAAAGGCUACUUGAAUUGAUUUGCAAUUAUGUGAAUUGUAUGUGAAACUCUUUACUUGUAUGGUUAUUCUAAAGUUGUCCCUAGUCGGACUUCAUGUGAGGACACACAUGAAUAUUAGACUAGCACAUGUAUUAGUUGAUGACUAUGUUUCACAAGUCACGGACAUGGAGAUGUUGAACUAAUAAUGUGGACACAUGUGGAGACAUGUGUUAGGACUGACCCAACACGAGAAGCAGUUCUCUCUUUAAAACAACAUAUACGCUUUGUCCUUAGACCUGAGAUUGUCGCAUGUAUUCUAGAUGUGGAUCGACCUACUUAGGGCUAUCAAACGCUACACCGUAACAGGGUAGUUAUAAAGGUAGUUUUCGGGUUUGUCAAGAAGCAUGCUAUGAGACAUGGUCAAUCAAGAUGGGAUUUGCCCCUCUCUGAUUGAGAGUGAUAUCUCUGGGCCCCUCGAGUGAUCGGAUCCGAAAAUGCAUGGCCAUGCUACGUACGGUUAAGAGUUAAACCUACAAAGGGAUUCCGAAUCACAGGAUCGAG
rnacentral:lncRNA from 1 species